UUUGCAGUCCUAGAACGCUUACACACUCUCAAAUAAAACAUGUUUCAUGUUUGGACUCUCGAGUCCCAAUAAUAGUUGUUCCAGGAAGGAGAGAAACAGAGUCAAGUGUCGUGUUUUUUUGUAAGCCAGGGAAACAACUGUCCAGGAGCCCACACUCAGGAAGCUAGCAGUUUUCUGUUCAAUCACUUCAAGGAAUGAUUUUGCUGGAGUCCCUAAACCAAUCUUUAUUAAUUAGCUGGACAGGCUGCACCACUGAAUCUGCUGUUGAAUUAUGGAUCCUUUAGUCCCUCUCAAGUUCUGAUAUGUAUUUCUCUGAUAGUUUUCAAGAUUUCAUUGACACAGCCCUCCUAAUGCAAACCCCUUCACCUUCACCGCCUAUCGCCAAACGGAUACAUUAGAUCAUUCAAAAUGAACAGACAGGAAGCAUGUUGUAGAAAGAUUUAGUUAUUGUGUUUUCGGACUCUGAGGAUUUUCACCCGUAACAAACUUUGUGGUUUGUUAGGGUUUAACUUAUAACAUACUUCAUUACUAUUCGCUUCCCAGGUGUAUUGGUUAGUUUCAAAACCUGACGAUUUUUAG
rnacentral:lncRNA from 1 species